GUAAGGAAUAUUGGGCAAUGGACGCAAGUCUGACCCAGCCAUGCCGCGUGAAGGAUGACGGCCCUAUGGGUUGUAAACUUCUUUUGUACGGGAAUAAACCUUCGGUCGUGACCGGAGCUGAAUGUACCGUAAGAAUAAGGAUCGGCUAACUCCGUGCCAGCAGCCGCGGUAAUACGGAGGAUCCAAGCGUUAUCCGGAUUCAUUGGGUUUAAAGGGUGCGUAGGCGGAUUUGUAAGUCAGUGGUGAAAUCCUGCAGCUUAACUGUAGAACUGCCAUUGAUACUGCAAGUCUUGAGUACAUUUGAUGUGGGCGGAAUGUGUCAUGUAGCGGUGAAAUGCUUAGAUAUGACACAGAACACCGAUUGCGAAGGCAGCUCACAAAACUGUAACUGACGCUGAGGCACGACAGCGUGGGGAUCAAACAGGAUUAGAAACCCGAGUAGUCC
rnacentral:rRNA from 1 species